rnacentral:rRNA from 1 species
CAGCAGCCACGGUAAUACAGAGGGUGCGAGCGUUAAUCGGAUUUACUGGGCGUAAAGCGUGCGUAGGCGGCUUCUUAAGUCGGAUGUGAAAUCCCUGAGCUUAACUUAGGAAUUGCAUUCGAUACUGGGAAGCUAGAGUAUGGGAGAGGAUGGUAGAAUUCCAGGUGUAGCGGUGAAAUGCGUAGAGAUCCGGAGGAAUACCGAUGGCGAAGGCAGCCAUCUGGCCUAAUACUGACGCUGAGGUACAAAAGCAUGGGGAGCAAACAGGAUUAGAGACCCCAGUAGUCCCUGUCUCUUAUAC